rnacentral:rRNA from 1 species
UACGUAGGGGGCAAGCGUUGUCCGGAUUUAUUGGGCGUAAAGAGCGUGUAGGCGGUCAGGUAGGUCCGUUGUGAAAACUCGAGGCUCAACCUCGAGACGCCGAUGGAAACCAUCUGACUAGAGUCCGGAAGAGGAGAGUGGAAUUCCUGGUGUAGCGGUGAAAUGCGCAGAUAUCAGGAAGAACACCCGUGGCUAAGGCGGCUCUCUGGUACGGUACUGACGCUGAGACGCGAAAGCGUGGGGAGCGAACAGG